CGGAACGCAUCCAACUUUGCUUGAGUACUACGUAGUCUCAUUCGAAACUUCGCCUUUUCUUUGCCGUUUUGAACCUCAUCCUGUUGGCAAGAUUGUUAGAUAAGAGUAACCAGCAUGAGGUCAAAGGUUCAAUCCAUGGUGGUUGCCAACCUAUGAAUUAAUUUCCUACAAGUUUUCUUGACGGAAAUAUUUCAAGGUCAGACAGUUUGUCCCAUGAGAUUAGUCAAGAUGUGUGUAAACCGGUUCGGACAAUCACAAAUAUUAAAAAGUAAGUGCUGAAAGUAUAUAACUUACUUGCUGAGUUGCUUCA